CUGGGGCUGGUGCAGGCACAAGAACGCCCUGAUCUAGAGCAUCUGGACCUGACCGCACUGCAAAAGCUCAACACGCCCCGGCCCUGCGCCGGGGCCUCGCA
rnacentral:tRNA from 1 species